GUGCUUGUUUUGGCAGUACAUAUACUAAAACUGCAACAACACAGAGAUUAGCAUGACUCCUGUGCAAGGAUGACACACAAAUUCGUGAAGCGUUUCAUAUUGGA